rnacentral:tRNA from 1 species
GCUAUUUUGGCAGAUAAGUGCGUUGGAUUUAGAAUCUAUUAAUGUAAAGUGUAUAGCUUUAUGAAUAGUA